rnacentral:rRNA from 1 species
GACGUAGGGCGCGAGCGUUGUCCGGAUUUAUUGGGCGUAAAGAGCUCGUAGGCGGCUUGUUGCGUCAGCUGUGAAAACCCGCAGCUCAACUGUGGGCUUGCAGCUGAUACGGGCAGGCUUGAGUUCGGUAGGGGAGACUGGAAUUCCUGGUGUAGCGGUGAAAUGCGCAGAUAUCAGGAGGAACACCGGUGGCGAAGGCGGGCU